GGAGGUAGUCCGGUUGGUCGAGGAAGCAGUCUUGAAAACUGUGGGGCUUAAUGGCUUCGGGGGUUCGAUUCCCUCUGCCUCCG
rnacentral:tRNA from 1 species